rnacentral:lncRNA from 1 species
UGUGGACUUUGUACUAGUGUGUCAUUGCAGUUAUCUGUUUAACUAUUACAUUUUUAAAGACUAUUUACACCGUCUGCCGUUGACCAAUUGGUGAUAACAUACAUCAAGCCUGUCUCUUUUAAAAUGACAAAAAAUAGAUAGAGAAAACUUUGUUUAAAAACUUUAGGUAUUGAGGAAAGAAUUCACGAAAUUAUACCCCGCCACUUCUAUAGUCCAUGUUUUGGAAUAAAAUAAACCACCAGAAAAACUAAAUUAUAGGUGCACAGGGGCAUCAUUUAAUAACGAAUACGAGGAAGUUUUAUUAAUACUAGUAUAUGGUAAGUUUUUGAAAGUUGCGUAUAGUAAACGGGUACCACCCAAUAAGGUAGUGGAAAAGUCCUUAUCAUGGAAAUAAAAAACUGAUGAUUUUUCGAAAAACCAAAUAAGAGGUACACAAUUGAAUUAAAUGAUAAGGAAUCUGAAAAAGAUUCAUUAAGUUAUGACACUUGUCUGAAGGAAGUUGUGAAUAUAAAAUAGGUACGCCCAAUAUAAGGUUAUGACAAAGUCCGUAUUUAAGAUAUAGAAACAUCAAAAAUAUUUUUACCAAAAAUUCGAAAUAGAAGCUCCAUAAUACAUUAAUUGAUUAAAAAUGGAGCAAUUUUAGAAAAGUUUAACAAUUGGUUUUGAGGGUCACGGUUGGAAAUACCUGAUGGGUGCCCCCAUAUAAUGCAAUGUUCGAGUCCGUAUCUUAUAUAAAGAAACCCCAUAAAAGAUUUUUAAUAAAAUUCGAAAAACAUUCCUCUUUUUUAAUAAAUAAGGCCGUUAAUUUUCUCGUUUGAAUUGUUUUACAUUGUCAUUUCGGGGGCUUUUAUAGCUGACUUUGUGGUAUCGGCUUUGCUUAUUGCUGAAGGCCAUGCGGUGACCUAUAUUUGUUAAUGUCUGUGUCAUUUUGAUUUCUUGUGGACGGUUGUCUUAUUGGCAAUCAUACCGCAUCUUCUUUUUUAUAUUAUAAUUUAUGAUACGGAAUCCGAGAAAAAAAUAAAUUAACAGUUGUACCAGUGAAGGAUUCAAGAAAAUUGGGAUCCGGCGGUUUGAAACUCUUUUUUAACUUUCAAUGCAUUUGUAUGGGAACAUAUAUUUAGAAUCCUCUUUUCUCCUGGAUUGGACCCCCUCUCCAUUUAAAAAUGUCUGGAAACCCCAAUGUAUAUUAAGUGGUUUAUGAGGAGAUGCGCUUGCAAAACCGGCGAAACAUGUUGUACGGUCCAACGGACGAACGGAAAGACGGACUUCAUUAUCACUAUAAACCAUCGCUUUACAAAGUGGUGUACAAUUGAGUGUGAAAGAGACAGAUCUACAUCCAAAAAAAAGUGAAGGAACUGUGAUCAAUUAUAGGCUACAGUACGGCCUCGAAUGUUUGUAAAUACAUGCAUUUUUAUAUAACAAUUAAAUCUGUGUGUUUGUACAAUUUUAAGUAUAACGGAGGACAUUUCUGAAACUUAUAUAAACAAACAAACCUUCUUCUUAUUUCAGCCACAUUCAAACAUCCUUAUACUUAAUGUAGUAAGUCGAGUACACCCUAUCAAGCUAAAACAUGUUUGAAAAGU